UCAGAUUGAACGCUGGCGGCAUGCCUUACACAUGCAAGUCGAACGGCAGCACGGACUUCGGUCUGGUGGCGAGUGGCGAACGGGUGAGUAAUAUAUCGGAACAUACCCUAGAGUGGGGGAUAACGUAGCGAAAGUUACGCUAAUACCGCAUACGCACUAAGGUGGAAAGUGGGGGAUCGCAAGACCUCAUGCUCAUGGAGUGGCCGAUAUCUGAUUAGCUAGUUGGUGAGGUAAAGGCUCACCAAGGCGACGAUCAGUAGCUGGUUUGAGAGAACGACCAGCCACACUGGAACUGAGACACGGUCCAGACUCCUACGGGAGGCAGCAGUGGGGAAUUUUGGACAAUGGGCGCAAGCCUGAUCCAGCAAUGCCGCGUGAGUGAAGAAGGCCUUCGGGUUGUAAAGCUCUUUUGUCAGGGAAGAAACGGUAGUCUCUAAUACAGAUUGCUAAUGACGGUACCUGAAGAAUAAGCACCGGCUAACUACGUGCCAGCAGCCGCGGUAAUACGUAGGGUGCAAGCGUUAAUCGGAAUUACUGGGCGUAAAGCGUGCGCAGGCGGUUAUAUAAGUCAGAUGUGAAAUCCCCGGGCUCAACCUGGGAACUGCAUUUGAGACUGUAUGGCUAGAGUGUGUCAGAGGGGGGUAGAAUUCCACGUGUAGCAGUGAAAUGCGUAGAUAUGUGGAGGAAUACCGAUGGCGAAGGCAGCCCCCUGGGAUAACACUGACGCUCAUGCACGAAAGCGUGGGGAGCAAACAGGAUUAGAUACCCUGGUAGUCCACGCCCUAAACGAUGUCUACUAGUUGUCGGGACUUAAUUGUCUUGGUAACGCAGCUAACGCGUGAAGUAGACCGCCUGGGGAGUACGGUCGCAAGAUUAAAACUCAAAGGA
rnacentral:rRNA from 1 species